UGCGGAUGUGGCGGAAUUGGUAUACGCGCACGCUUGAGGUGCGUGUGGCAUUGCCUUGCGAGUUCGAGUCUCGCCAUCCGCAU
rnacentral:tRNA from 1 species